AGAGCUCAGGCUGCUCUUGAUAUUUCUGGAGAUGAAUGUUCCCCGUACGCAGUGAGCAGCAGCAGCAAAGACUUUCAAAGAAAUGAAGUGUUGUAUUCACUUGCAACGAGCCCAUAUGAGGACCCAAAUGCAGCCUAUUGUACAGUGGAUAACACUGCAGCAUCUAGCAAGGGGACAGGAGAUGAAAUUCAUACAGUCUAUGCAGUGGUGCCACAAUAGCUGUUCCUGAGCUGGAGAAUGGAUGUCGGUUUGAAAAUGACUAUCAACUUUUGGCUGAUUUUAGGGGGGAAAAAACCAACGUAGUAGCCUUGACUACCCAUUUUUGACUAUUCAAUGAGCUAUAUUACAAAAUAUUAUGGAGCAGGUCCUCUACUGGUAUAAAUUCUCAUAUCUCCAUUAUGAAGCUAUGACAGUUUGCACCAGAGGAACAUAGGAAUUGUAACACUCAGACCAUUGGUUCAUUUAGUUCAGAAUCCUAUCUCCAGCAGUGGCCUUCACCAGGUGUGUCAGAAGCAGAUGCAAGUGUCCCCAUAAUGGACAAUUAUGGCACAACUUGCUCACAGGGGAAGUUUCUUCUCAACACCUAUCAGCUACAGAUUGGCUAUACCCUGAACGAAGAGGGUUUUAUAGCCCUCAUACAUCUUAUCCUAUCUAAUGUAACUUUAUCCUUAGUGUAUGAAAAUCUUUAUAAAUGAACGAUUGCUUUAGGAACAAAGAUCUUUAUUUUGCUUCAGUUUUACAUUGGUGUAAUUCUGUUGGCUCCAUUGGAGAUACUCCUGCUUUACAUUGGUGUAAGUGAGAAAAGGAUCAGAUACUUAGACACUCAGGUAUGAUUACUAGAGUAGGAAGAAUCAGUUAAGGACACUAUUAGUCCCUACUGUAAGUUUUUCUUCUUUAAAACAGGCACAUUGGAUAUAAUGUUGUGAAGGGAGACUGGGGUCCUUUAUGUAUCUCCAGAAAAGGUGCAGCACAAACCAUGUUCCAGGAAUCAGGGCCGGCAGCAGGGCCACUCUCCUAGUAACCUAACAAAAACAGUUGUCCUGUAGUUGGCUGCCUGAUUGACUACACCGCCUGAUUGGUUUGAAGAGUCAGCAGCCCAGCACUUAAGCCCAGCAGCAGUUCAGUGUCUCUUCAAAUCACGUACUCAUGGCUGAGCUAGCUCCUGUGUGUGUUUGUUCUAGCCCUGCCCCACUUCCACUAGGCAUGACUGCCCAUGCCCUGGCCACUGACACCAUGGCAGUGCCACUGUCCUCACAUAAGCUUUUUAGUCAUCACAAAGCUGAGAGGAACCUCUGCUAGGAUGAGAGGAUAGGUGUAUCUCUGUGCAUAUUUAAAUCUUAAAUCCACUGGAAUGUCUAUAUUCUCCAUUUACUUUCCCCUGCCCACCUCAAAAGCUUGACACUGAGUGAAGUGAUCCUCUUUCAAGGGUCUGUUGGCUCCAUUCUGGAUGCUCAGAUGGGAUGUCUUUGCAGGGGUGCUGGAACAAUUUGUAUAGUGGGGGUGCUGAAAGCCAUUGAACCAAACUGUAAACCUUGUAUAUAAUGGAAACUACUACUCCUUCAAGCCGGGGGAGUGGCUGCACCCCAGGCACCUCUAGUUCCAGCACCUAUGUGUCUUUGUAGUGUUCCCAUCCCUUGCUGGUCUGGGUAGGGUGACCAGAUAACAAGUGUGAAAAAUUGGGACACUUUAUUUUUUGGAGGAGUGGCCUAUAGUUGCCUGUAUAAGAAAAAUCCCCUAAUAUCGAGCUGUCUAGUUACCCUAGGUAUGGGGAAUUUCGGGCCUGAACUUGGACACUGUGGUGCAUUGCAUAGCUACAAGCUCACCCAGAUGGCUUUGGUGGUGCAUUCUGGAAUAAAAUAGGCUGUGACCUACAA